rnacentral:rRNA from 1 species
UGGGGAAUCUUGCGCAAUGGGCGAAAGCCUGACGCAGCCAUGCCGCGUGAAUGAUGAAGGUCUUAGGAUUGUAAAAUUCUUUCACCGGGGACGAUAAUGACGGUACCCGGAGAAGAAGCCCCGGCUAACUUCGUGCCAGCAGCCGCGGUAAUACGAAGGGGGCUAGCGUUGCUCGGAAUUACUGGGCGUAAAGGGAGCGUAGGCGGACAUUUAAGUCAGGGGUGAAAUCCCAGAGCUCAACUCUGGAACUGCCUUUGAUACUGGGUACCUAGAGUAUGGAAGAGGUGAGUGGAAUUCCGAGUGUAGAGGUGAAAUGCGUAGAUAUUCGGAAGAACACCAGUGGCGAAGGCGACAUACUGGCUCAUUACUGACGCUGAGGCUCGAAAGCGUGGGGAGCAAACA